GCCACCUGCUUCAGACGCCCCAUGGGCUGGCGACUCUUCUGGUCUUUAGUGCUGACACCCACAGGCCUGGCUCACAGUGGGUGCUGGGUCAGGGCUGGUGGAGAACAAUAGUGCUGAGCCAGGACCCGCCCAUGUGUUAGAGAAAGGCAGCAGCUUGGAAACCUGUAGGUGGGUCUUCCAUCCACUAAGUCACCAAGAACUAGGAGCCUGCAGCCAGUUGAGAGGAUUCUUGAGGUGCUCUGCCCCCAGCUGGGGCCCUGAGCCCCCACGAGCCUUCCGCCUGGGGCAUCUGAUGACUCACGUGCACCACAGCACAGCAGCCCAGUGGGCUGGGAGUUGGGAGCUGGAAGAUGAAAGCCACCCACUCUUAUCUGCCUCCGAGGAGUCGCAAUCAAGAGGGAGGAUGCCCCCAUAAGAAAUGCAGAUUCUGUGACCUUCAGAGGCAGCUGGAGAAAGAAAAGAUGGAGGAGAUCACGGCCCAGCAAUUCCAGCCUGGGGCGGGCGCGGGCUCAAUGAUAUCCUUCAGGUCCUAAUCCCCGAGUGUGGCUGUGUGUGACCCGAGUCCCUUCUGCCUGCCAGGAGUGAGGCCACCUGAGGUCGCAGAAAGGACUGGGGAGGAGACAGGCGCAGGGUGAUCCGGAUCCCAUAUUUAAUUGAUGGUAAGGAGGCCUCCUCACUUCUCCCUGAGCCUGACAAACAUGGCUAACCUCCUUUGGAGAAAGUUCUGUGAAUAAUGUGUCUGCCGCAGGCUGGCGAAGUACAGUGUUCUCCAGAAAUCCAGUGGUCUGCACCAUCAGUGUCCUGGGCUCGCUGCCUCUGGAGACUCCCACGCCCCCAGCCAAAGCCGGAACCCUCCCCUGAAGCCUCUGCCAUGGCCUGUCCUGCCUUGGGGAGGUGGAGACCCUCGGCGUGCUGGUGUCCCACCUCACUGUGCCUCUCAGCUUCUUUGUUUCUGCCCAAAAUACAGGCUCCUGAGUAGCCUCCUGUGGGUGUCCUGGGACUGUCACCUGCCCUCUUUCAGCCAGGUGGGCUCAAACGUCAGGGGCACCAUCUCUGGUCCAGAUUGGGGUCUCUCUCGGUUCAUUUAUCCAGGAUCUUUUGGCAAAAAGAGAAAGACCAAGGAUUAUCCCCUUUCAGGAGAGCUCAGCCUGCUUUUUCGGGCUCUUCAAGGCCCAUCCAUUCAUGCACGGAGAAAUAACACGAAUGCUGGUGUGGAAAUGAUGCCCGGAUACCUUUCCAAAGGCUCCAUAGCCCACUCUUCCAGUAUCCAUCCUGGUCAUGCAGGCGCUGACCCACAUGUUUCUGGAUUAGGAAGGAAAGCAAAGGCCAGGAGGCGGAGGCUGACCCCUUUAUCUUCUGAUAAACCCGAGAGCAGAACAGCCUCAACAAGGACGAUUACAGCAGGGAAAUGGCAUUCCUGGCCAGUGGACAAGCACCUCCUUUAACCUACAGCUCAGAGCCUCACUUUGACUUGCCUCCUGUGGGGUGCUGGUCAGUAGGGGCUGAAUUCUGGGGUGCUAGGCAUCCCUCCACCAUGCAGGCCCCACAAAAGCAGCCGAGGAGGGAGAGUGCUAGGAAGCAGACAGCCACACAGACCACUGGGCUCCAUCAGGCCUCUCACUGCAGGAAGCACAGGCCAGCAAGGCCAGAGUUAAUUUCUCAGAAUAAUUGCUAAUAAUACAAAUCAACCUUUCUGGGCACUGAGUACACACCAGGCCCUGUGCUAAGCGCUUCUAACCUAAGCGUCACCUCAUUGCCUGCUAAUACCCUCUCUAGGAAAUAGGGACUACUAUAAGUCCUGCCCACAGACAUGAAAACCACAGCUGUGGGUUGACCCUCUCUGCGUCUGUAUCUAAUACUGCACCUGUUUUCUAUGAAAUCAGGACAAUAUGAUUCAUAGGGCAAAAUGAUUAUUUGUUACACAUGGAGAAAAACAAAAGCUCAAAGUAUGUUUUCUGAAGGAGAAACAAAAUCCAGACAUUUUCCAAGCUUCAAGUGUGAAUAUACUUACAU
rnacentral:lncRNA from 1 species